CCUGACUGCUAUUGGAGUAGGACUAAGUCACGCUAGUUAAAGGUACAGAAUGGAGUACCUGGCGCACGGCUCAGUAACACGUAAUGAAUCUACCCUAAGGACGAGAACAACCACGGGAAACUGUGGCUAAUUCUCGAUAGGAAAUUUGGCCUGGAACGGUAUCUUUCCCAAAACCGGCUCGCCGUGAGACACGGGCCUUAGGAUGGCGUUGCGGCCGAUUAUGCUAGACGGCGGUGUAAAGGACCACCGUGGCUACGAUCGGUAUGGGCGAUGGAAGUCGGAGCCCAGAGUCGGCUACUGAGACAAGGAGCCGAGCCUUACGAGGCUUAGCGGUCGCGAAAACUCGCCAAUGCACGAAAGUGUGAGUGGGCUACUCCAAGUGUCAUUCUUACGGAUGACUGUCGCUCAGUUUUACAAGCUGAGAAAGGAAGGAGAGGGCAAGGCUGGUGCCAGCCGCCGCGGUAAAACCAGCUCUUCGAGUGGUCAGGACGAAUAUUGGGUCUAAAGCGUUCGUAGCGGGACAUGUAGGUUCCUGGUUAAAUCCGAUGUCACAAGCAUCGGGCUGCUGGGAAUACCGCAAGUCUUGAGAGCGGGAUAGGAGAGGGGUAGUAUAUGGGCAGGGGUGAAAUCCAGUGAUCCAUAUGCGACCACCGAUGGCGAAGGCACCUGUCUGGAACGUAUCUAACCGUGAUGGACGAAAGCCAGGGGAGCGACCCGGAUUAGAUACCCGGUUAGUCCUGGGCCGUAAGCGAUGCCGACUAGGUGUUGCAGCGGCCAAGAGCCACUGCAGUGCCACAGUGAAGACGUUAAGUCGGCCACCUGGGGAGUACGAUCGCAAGAUUGAAACUUAA
rnacentral:rRNA from 1 species